CGAUCCGUAAGCCCGGAUCUUCAUCAGUGCUAAAUGCUAAUAAUAAUAAUUAUUAUUAUGCUAAUAAUUAUAUUAGCACUGAUGAAGAUCCGGGCUUACGG